UACGUAGGGGGCUAGCGUUAUCCGGAAUUACUGGGCGUAAAGGGUGCGUAGGUAGUUUCUUAAGUCAGAGGUGAAAGGCUACGGCUCAACCGUAGUAAGCCUUUGAAACUGGGAAACUUGAGUGCAGGAGAGGAGAGUGGAAUUCCUAGUGUAGCGGUGAAAUGCGUAGAUAUUAGGAGGAACACCAGUUGCGAAGGCGGCUCUCUGGACUGUAACUGACACUGAGGCACGAAAGCGUGGGGAGCAAACAGG
rnacentral:rRNA from 1 species